rnacentral:misc_RNA from 1 species
UGGCAUCUGAAUUCAAUCUCUGGAAUUUUAUUCACAUUUUGGAAAAUGACAGAAGGUUGAACUUGAGCAAGACUUGUAUGAAAGAAAAAGGGGGAAAAGAUUUAAAGCGGACUGCAAUUCUGAAUUUGAUUGGCUACUUGGAGGAAGCUCUUUUACUUAAUGAAAUAGCACUACAGAGCACUGAUGGCAUUUCAAGCCUGAAGAGAUAUCUUCACUCCAAGCUUUUACUGCUAACUUCCUGUCUGGCAUUCAUUGUGUAUCUUGUUGUCUUUGUUUCAACUUUCUUAUAAGUAAUUCAAUGCCGAUACGAAGUGCCAAUUUCCAUAUGUAACAAGGCUAAAAAUUAAACAGAUA